GUGCCAGCAGCCGCGGUAAGACAGAGGGUGCAAACGUUGUUCGGAAUUACUGGGCGUAAAGCGUGUGUAGGCGGUCUAUUAAGUCGGAUGUGAAAGCCCUGGGCUCAACCCAGGAAGUGCACUCGAAACUGGUAGACUUGAGUAUCGGAGAGGUUGGUGGAAUUCUCGGUGUAGAGGUGAAAUUCGUAGAUAUCGAGAGGAACACCGGUGGCGAAGGCGGCCAACUGGACGAAUACUGACGCUGAGACACGAAAGCGUGGGGAGCAAACAGGAUUAGAUACCCUAGUAGUCC
rnacentral:rRNA from 1 species